rnacentral:rRNA from 1 species
ACGUAGGGUGCGAGCGUUAAUCGGAAUUACUGGGCGUAAAGCGUGCGCAGGCGGUUUUUUAAGCCAGAUGUGAAAUCCCCGGGCUCAACCUGGGAACUGCAUUUGGAACUGGAAGACUAGAGUAUAGCAGAGGGGGGUAGAAUUCCACGUGUAGCAGUGAAAUGCGUAGAUAUGUGGAGGAAUACCAAUGGCGAAGGCAGCCCCCUGGGUUAAUACUGACGCUCAUGCACGAAAGCGUGGGGAGCAAACAGGAUUAGAUACCCUGGUAGUCCACGCCCUAAACGAUGUCAACUAGGUGUUGGGGGAGGAGACUUCCUUAGUACCGCAGCUAACGCGUGAAGUUGACCGCCUGGGGAGUACGGUCGCAAGAUUA